AACGAACGCUGGCGGCAGGCUUAACACAUGCAAGUCGAACGCCCCGCAAGGGGAGUGGCAGACGGGUGAGUAACGCGUGGGAAUCUACCCAGUUCUACGGAAUAACCCAGGGAAACUUGGACUAAUACCGUAUACGCCCUACGGGGGAAAGAUUUAUCGGAAUUGGAUGAGCCCGCGUUGGAUUAGCUAGUUGGUGGGGUAAUGGCCUACCAAGGCGACGAUCCAUAGCUGGUCUGAGAGGAUGAUCAGCCACACUGGGACUGAGACACGGCCCAGACUCCUACGGGAGGCAGCAGUGGGGAAUAUUGGACAAUGGGCGCAAGCCUGAUCCGGCCAUGCCGCGUGAGUGAUGAAGGCCUUAGGGUUGUAAAGCUCUUUCAGUGGGGACGAUAAUGACGGUACCCACAGAAGAAGCCCCGGCUAACUUCGUGCCAGCCGCCGCUGUAACAC
rnacentral:rRNA from 1 species